CACUGUCACUCCUACGGGGAGGCAGCAGUGGGGGAAUAUUGCACAAUGGGCGCAAGCCUGAUGCAGCCAUGCCGCGUGUGUGAAGAAGGCCUUCGGGUUGUAAAGCACUUUCAGUCGUGAGGAAGGUAGUGUAGUUAAUAGCUGCAUUAUUUGACGUUAGCGACAGAAGAAAGCACCGGCUAACUCCGUGCCAGCAGCCGCGGUAAUACGGAGGGUGCGAGCGUUAAUCGGAAUUACUGGGCGUAAAGCGCAUGCAGGUGGUUUGUUAAGUCAGAUGUGAAAGACCCGGGGCUCAACCUCGGAAUAGCAUUUGAAACUAGGCAGACUAGAGUACUGUAGAGGGGGGUAGGAAUUUCAGGUGUAGCGGUGAAAUAGCGUAGAGAUCUGAAGGAAUACCGGUGGCGAAGGCGGCCCCCUCGGACAGAUACUGACACUCAGAUGCGAAAGCGUGGGGAGCAAACAGGAUUAGAUACCCUGGUAG
rnacentral:rRNA from 1 species